AAUGAACUUGGGUUCCUCCUGUGGAGAAAGAAAGAGGAAGGAAGGAAGUUCACUGAGCAUUGCCAUUUUCCAUGUCAGUGGCUUGAGUCGUUGUAAUGUAGCAGAGGUGAGCCGACAGAUGCACG
rnacentral:lncRNA from 1 species